AUUUAAUAUUAAUUAAUAUUUAAUCAUGAUAUUAAAUUGUUAUUAAUUAAUUAUUUAUUUUUAUUAAUUAAUAAUUUCAAUAAUAAAUUAUAAAGGGUAAAAUAGUUUUUUAAAUUUAUUCCAUUCAUAUUCUUUGAAUUAAGAAAACAUAUUAAUACUAUUUUUUUUCUAUUCCAUUAUAAUAAAUCAAACUUUAUAAUAAUCCUUCACUAUCUGUUGCGGGUCGAGUACUUCUUCUUCUCCUUCUUCUACUUCUUCAAACUCCAAAAACUCCGGUUCGUCUUUUUCAUAGAGAAAUCUCUGAUCAACGAUAGAAGAUAAUCCAUUUUGCAUCAUU
rnacentral:lncRNA from 1 species